CAUAGCAAUAAACAGCACGACUGAAAGGCACUGGGGCAACCAGGAGACCUUGUAGCUCUAAUUCCUGGAGCUUUCCAUCCUGCUCAGCCUCAGUUAUUUCUUUCUAGAACCACUUUUCUGAAUUUGUGCUCAUCCUACGUCACAGUUUUUAACUCUGGACACACUCUUAUCUGGGAACAAGCACAGUGAUGUUCUUUGGGAGCACCUGGGAAACCAUGGCCGAGAAAGCUGGAAUUGCUCCACAUCAGACUAGAAGAUAUCCACAAAAUUGUGCUUUUCACUCCUUAGAAAUAAAUCAGCUCCCACUUGUUCUUCUGACCUAUCUUAUGACGCAGACUGAAGCUGACUGAAGCAGACUCCUGCCAAUUUUGACAUCUGUUUUACAACACUUGAAUCACUUUUCCUAUCAGGUGGCAUUUCUGUUGGAGUUUUCCAAAAGACAUUAACAUUCCUUGGUCAGAUUAUCCCAGUGGCUGAUGUCCUUGUAAUUCCCAGUGUCUGUGUUGGCAGGUUCUUACCUGUACAAUAGUUGAAAGAGGUCAACAAAAGAUGUUGACCUUACUGUCAAAACAGCUCUAAAAUGACAUGGUUUAUAGACAGAAUGUCCGAAAUGCAUGCUGCUUCUUGAAAAGUCAGACAUCAAAAGAGGUAUGCUUAUUAUCUUCACCUCAUAAAACACAAUGAGAUCUUUCUGAAGUUCAUACCUUUUCUUGAUUGGACCGCUGAUUUCUAAUGUGAAGAUGUGUUUGCUCCAGAUUAUGUAUCAUUUGUUACUGCUUUAGCUAAGGCACUAUGUGUAGAAAUACAUGUCAAACUUUAGCAGGUAUAGAUUUGCACAAAUAUUGUUAAGCAAUAACUGGGAAAGCAAUGUGGAAUAAUAUGAGGUUUUCUUGUGAGGAAAAUAUUGCUGGACUAAUGGAGGUAGCCUUGAUGUGUAAAUGAAACAGAAUGGUCAACCUUUUAAAAUGAGGAUGUUCAAAAUUUUGGCUUGCCUGAGCUGCAAAGUGAAGAGGAAUUAUCUUGGGCUUCAUAUAAAACACAAAAUAUAAUGAAUAUAUGUAAGUAAUAAACUUUCUUUUGUUUACUUUUAUAUUUAUUAAAAUAUAAAAAGUGUGCCACAAAAACUGAAAACUAAUGUGUUUUACACACACAUUUCAAAAUAAGCUGGAAACUUGGGUAUUUGACAUUAAACAGACAAAUGCUGUAAGCCCUUUUCUCUCCCCACACGUGUAGUUUGCCUAUUUUUUCGUCCAUUAGCUUCAUAGGCCAUUAUGUUCACAACUGGUACUAGUGUAUUCAUGAUUUUCAGUGUAUCAACCAAAAAUAAUAAAAUAUUCAUUUACCCUUGGGAAAACAAUGCAGAACUUUUCAUAAAUGCAUUAAAACAUGCUUUGCUCCAUUUACCAUGUGAAGUUCCUGUCUCGUGGAACAUUUAUUUCUUAGUGUUUCAUGCACUACCUAGCAGGUUGGUCACAUGAGACCUCACUAGCACUAGAAAAAUCAUAGACCUUUUUGACUUUGUAUUUAUUACAUUUUUAAUAUAUGAAAAAGAUUAUAGCCAUAGAAAACUGUGUAAGUCACAUGAGGUGAGUUGGUCAGUUCAGAGAACUUGCAAACACAUUGCGCGCUUUCAGGAAACUAAUAAGCAUACAUACUUUCAGGAAGAAAAAAUAAAGUCAAAACUAAUGGUCCAGAAAUACUGAGGCAGAUACU